UACGGCGGUCAUAGCGGAAGGGAUACACCCGUUCCCAUGCCGAACACGGAAGUUAAGCCUUCCUGCGUAUUGGACUGUACUGCCUUCUGGCGGGAACUUCAAUACGCCGCCGGCU
rnacentral:rRNA from 1 species